UGGUUUAAAAGAUUUUAUUAGAAGUAGAAAAACUCCAUCACAGGUUAGUCUGCAGAACUGGUCUGAGUUUGGGGAUCCUGUCCUUAUUAAAGCUCUAGUAAAGAGUUUUUUUCUGAUGAUGACUCAGCUGGAUCAUUGAACACUCACUGUUCCUGGAGAGUUAGUCCAGGCAUGUUGUUUGGUAGAAUAAACAGACACAGUUUCACUCACAUUUAUUCAGAUAUGAGGAAUGACUGCAGUCAUGUGGGGACGACCACUACAGAGUACAGGAAGUGACUGUUUUACCUUUAGUACUGCAGUUUGUCUUUAAUACUGUUUAUGUGCACUACUGCAGUACAGUGUUCAAUACUGUGAAGUUCUGUGUAAAUACUGCAGUACACUGGUCAGUACUCCAGUUUAGAGUUCAGUAUUGCAGUUUAAAACUCUGCAGUUUUAAGGACUGCAGUUUUGUGCUCAGUAGUACAGUGUAGCAGUGCAGUACUGCAUUAUUAUGUAUAAUACUGCAGUAUAAUGCUCAGAUCUUAAGUACAACACUUAAAUACUACAGUAUAGUAUUCAGUACUGCAGUAAAGAGUCUGGGAAUGCAGUAUUAUGUCUAAUACUGUAGUAUAGAGUCUAGUACUUAAGUAUAGAGUCAAGUACUGCAGUAAGGAGUCUAAUACUGUAGUGCAGAGACUGGUUCUGCAGUAUAGUGUUCAGUACUGCAGUAUAGUGUUCAGUACUGCAGUAUACAGUAUAGUGUUCAGUACUGCAGUAUAGAGUCUGGGAAUGCAGUAUUAUGUCUAAUACUGCAGUAUAGUGUUCAGUACUGCAGUAUAGUGUUCAGUACUGCAGUGUACAGUCUAGUACUGCAGUAUAGUGUUCAGUACUGCAGUAUAGAGUCUAGUACUGCAGUAUAGAGUCUAGUACUGCAUUAUAGUGUUCAGUACUGCAGUAUAGUGUUCAGUACUGCAGUAUACAGUCUAGUACUGCAGUAUAGUGUUCAGUACUGCAGUAUAGUGUUCAGUACUGCAGUAUACAGUCUAGUACUGCAGUAUAGUGUUCAGUACUGCAGUAUAGAGUCUAGUACUGCAGUAUAGAGUCUAGUACUGCAGUAUAGUGUUCAGUACUGCAGUAUAGUGUUCAGUACUGCAGUAUACAGUCUAGUACUGCAGUAUAGUGUUCAGUACUGCAGUAUAGUGUUCAGUACUGCAGUAUACAGUAUAGUGUUCAGUACUGCAGUAU